GCAUGGUGAUGGAUUUAUGGCAGGUCCUUCUGUGUGGGCCUCUCAUAGUGUACCCAUGCCAGAGUGAACUGCGGCCUCAAACCAUUGCCCAGCCCCCACACAGUGAGCUGUGAGCACUGAGUGAGGUUGUACAGUU
ensembl:snoRNA